rnacentral:rRNA from 1 species
GACGAACGCUGGCGGCGUGCUUAACACAUGCAAGUCGAACGGAAAGGCCCUGCUUUUGUUGGGUGCUCGAGUGGCGAACGGGUGAGUAACACGUGAGUAACCUGCCCUUGACUUUGUGAUAACUUCAGGAAACUGGGGCUAAUACCGGAUAUGAUCUCCUGCUGCAUGUUGGGGGUUGGAAAGUUUCGGCGGUUGGGUAUGGUAUCGCGGCUUAUGAGCUUGUUGGUGGGGUAGUGGCUUACCAAGGCUUUGACGGGUAGCCGGCCUGAGAGGGUGACCGGCCACAAUGGGACUGCGAUAGGGACCAGACUCCUACGGGAGGCAGUAGUGGGGAAUAUUGCACAAUGGGCGGAAGCCAGAUGCAGAAACGCUGGGUGCGGGAUGACGGCCUUCGGGUUGAAAACAGAUUUCGCCUGUGACGAAGAGUGAGUGACGGUAAUGGGUAAAGAAGCACCGGCUAACUACGUG